AUAAAUACCUGAUUGGUGGAGUGCUGCAGAGAUGGUUGUCCUCCUGGAAGGACUAUCCCAUCUCCACAGAGGAACACUGGAGCUCUGUCAGAGUGACCAUCGGGUUCUUGGUCACCUCUCUGACCAAGUCCCUUCUCCCCUGAUUGCUCAGUUUGGUCGGGCAGCCAGCUCUAGGAAGAGUUUUGGUGGUUCCAAACUUCUUCCAUUUAAGAAUGGUCCAUCAUUCUGUGAUGACCACUGUGUUCUGUGAUCGGCCACUGUGUUCUUGGGGACCUUCAAUGCUGCAGAAAUGUUCUGGUACCCUUCCCCAGAUCAAUGCCUCGACACAAUCCUGUCUCUGAGAUCUACGGACAAUUCCUUUGACUUCAGGGUUUGGUUUUUGCUCUGACAUGCACUGUCAACUGUGGGACCUUUAUAUAGACAUGUCCAAUCAAUUUAAUUUUACUUUAGUUUGGUGAAUCUUUUUUAUCUCUAUUUCUUGCACUGCAUUGUUGGUUAAGGGCUUGUAAGUAAGCAAGUGACAAAUAAGAUUUGAUUUUGAAUCAAGUUGUACGAAUAUCUCAAGGAUGAUCAAUGGAAACAGGAUGCACCUGAGCUCAAUUUUGUCUCAUACUGUAAAUAAAGUAUUUGUUUUAUAUUUAAUACAUUUGCAAACAUUUCUAAAAACUUGUUUUUGCUUUGUCAUUAUGGGGUGUUCUGUGUAGAUUGAUGAGAAAAUAUUAAUUUAAUCUAUUUUAGAAUAUGGCUGUAACAAAAUGUGGGAAAAGGGAAGGGGUCUGAAUACUUUUCUAAUGCACUGUACCACAGAACAAACACAACAGGAAGUGUACACAUUUUUCCGUGAUUACUUUUAUAUAUUUUUAAAGAAAAUGUUUAAAUUUGAAAAGAGUAGAAAGAAACUAGUUGGGGGGAAAAAAAGCACAUUGUGAAUUUCAGUUUAUUUUUAUUUUUUACAUGCUUUUAGCACUAUGCUUAAAAUACCACUUACAAGUGGCUUUAAUAAAGACAGAGGCUAUUCACUGCAGCUUGUGUUAUGUUUUUGUUUAUCUUUUGCAUAAUUUCACCAGAACCUUAAUAUAUGCUUUGUGUCACAGAUGUGUCAUGGGAUGCUACAACAUUGUCUGCUGCCUUGCUCAUGGUCUCAACAGUCGAUGUUGUUCUGUAUACCAGGUGUGCUGGAUGUCAACUUCUGUUUGUGUAUCAUGUCUAGCCACAAUGAACAAUACAAAAAUCAUGAUAUGAAGAUUGAUUUAAGAGUUUGUUUCCCAUGUGGUUCAGUGAAUCUGAAGCCAUGGGGAUGUGGGUUUUAGAUUAUUUGUUUUUAUUUAACCAGGACAAGACCCUUGAGGUUAGAAACCACUUUCUCAAGGAGGACCUGGGAUCUAUGGUGUCUAUCUUGGGCGAUGGGAAGGUUAAAGGCAAAGAGCUCUCACUCUUAGGUGCUGUGAUGGAGAGCCUUGUGUAAUGCACACUGCACCCUUAUAUUGGGAUUUCCUCGCAGCAGAUGGCUCCCGUUCGCCUCAGCUCUGGAUCCAUCUGCCAAAGCAGGAGGAAAACACAAAGGAGUGCACAGCGUGAGCGGAUAAGGAUUGGCAGGCUGUGGGCUGAAACUAUACUUAUCAUUUUAUGAAUCUCUGGUGCUGCCUGCUCCGAUUGAUACACGCUCUCUGCCAGAGCCACUACUAAACGGGUUCUUCGGCUGUACCCAUAGGGUUUUACAUGGAACCCAAAAGGGUUAUCCUAUGGGGACAGCCGAAGAACCCUUUAGGAACCCUUUUUUUAAGAGUGUAGUCUUCUCUUCAGACCAGUCUUUAUCGUCAUAAACUCCCCUCUACUCAAUAGCUCUCAGUAUGAAAUGACCACUGCAUUGAAGCCAUUGGGUUGUUCUUGAAUUGUGGAGGUAUUUUCAUCCCUUGGCUUUGUAAUCAUGAAAAUGUAAAGACAAUUACACAUCAUACAUGUUUUUGUUUAUAUUUUACGCUGUUUAUCAAUGAUAAAACAUAAUACAAGUCCUUUAUACUGCAAAAUUAUGUUAGUGCAAAUUGUCUUGUGUAGAGUUGUGAAAUGUUUUGGGGAUUUAGAGAUCUAUUAUUUAGAAUUCUAGAAAGUCAACAAAAGUAUUCAAUAUAUUGUAUAGAUCAAUAAAAACAAAAGGCUAUUAAAAUAGCUAUUUUCAGCUAGUAUAAUGUCUGUCCCUCAGUUUUAUGUAAUUGGUGUUACCAUCUUGAAAAUCACAAUUCUCUCCAGUGGAAAACUAUCAGGGGAGGGGUCUAUAUUAAAGAAAAUUGUUAGCUAA